GACGAACGCUGGCGGCGUGCUUAACACAUGCAAGUCGAACGGAAAGGCCCUGCUUUUGUGGGGUGCUCGAGUGGCGAACGGGUGAGUAACACGUGAGUAACCUGCCCUUGACUUUGGGAUAACUUCAGGAAACUGGGGCUAAUACCGGAUAGGAGCUCCUGCUGCAUGGUGGGGGUUGGAAAGUUUCGGCGGUUGGGGAUGGACUCGCGGCUUAUCAGCUUGUUGGUGGGGUAGUGGCUUACCAAGGCUUUGACGGGUAGCCGGCCUGAGAGGGUGACCGGACACAUUGGGACUGAGAUACGGCCCAGACUCCUACGGGAGGCAGCAGUGGGGAAGAUUGCACAAUGGGCGGAAGCCUGAUGCAGCAACGCCGCGUGCGGGAUGACGGCCUUCGGGUUGUAAACCGCUUUCGCCUGUGACGAAGCGUGAGUGACGGUAAUGGGUAAAGAAGCACCGGCUAACUACGUG
rnacentral:rRNA from 1 species